rnacentral:rRNA from 1 species
GAUGAACGCUAGCGAUAGGCCUAACACAUGCAAGUCGAGGGGCAUCACAUGAAGUAGCAAUACGGAUGGUGGCGACCGGCGCACGGGUGAGUAACACGUAUGCAACCUGCCUUCAACAAGGGGAUAACCCGUUGAAAGACGGACUAAUACCCUAUAACACAGGGGUCCCGCAUGGGGAUAUUUGUUAAAGGACAACCGGUUGAAGAUGGGCAUGCGUUCCAUUAGCUAGUUGGCGGGGUAAGGCCCACCAAGGCAACGAUGGAUAGGGGAACUGAGAGGUUUAUCCCCCACACUGGUACUGAGACACGGACCAGACUCCUACGGGAGGCAGCAGUGAGGAAUAUUGGUCAAUGGACGCAAGUCUGAACCAGCCACGUCGCGUGAAGGAAGACGGCCCUACGGGUUGUAAAACUUCUUUUAUACGGGGAAUAAAGUGCCCCACGCGUGGGGUUUUGCAUGUACCGUAUGAAUAAGGAUCGGCUAACUCCGUGCCAGCAGCCGCGGUAAUUACG